GACGUAGGGCGCAAGCGUUGUCCGGAUUUAUUGGGCGUAAAGAGCUCGUAGGCGGCCUGUCGCGUCGACCGUGAAAACCCGCAGCUCAACUGCGGGCUUGCGGUCGAUACGGGCAGGCUGGAGUUCGGUAGGGGAGACUGGAAUUCCUGGUGUAGCGGUGAAAUGCGCAGAUAUCAGGAGGAACACCGGUGGCGAAGGCGGGCCUCUGGGCCGAUACUGACGCUGAGGAGCGAAAGCGUGGGGAGCGAACAGG
rnacentral:rRNA from 1 species